GGGGCAGUCCUGUCUGCGUAUUCAUUUCUCCGUUUCACCAACUUUUGACAAAUCAACGGUACUGGACAUCGCAAGGGGGCAGUCCUAUCUGCGUAUUCAUUUCACGAACUUUAAUCUUUCUCUUUACAGAUAAAUAAAAUAUAAAUAAUAUGAAACAUUAAUGCAUGGAUUAGUUUUUAUCCAUGUUUCUUUAACCUAAAAAAUUGAAAGAAUAUCCCAUAUUCCAAUUUGAUAUUAUUGAGGAAUGGUAGAACC
rnacentral:lncRNA from 1 species